GCAGUCGCCGCGGGAAUACAGAGGGUGCGAGCGUUAAUCGGAUUUACUGGGCGUAAAGCGUGCGUAGGCGGCUUUUUAAGUCGGAUGUGAAAUCCCCGAGCUUAACUUGGGAAUUGCAUUCGAUACUGGGAAGCUAGAGUAUGGGAGAGGAUGGUAGAAUUCCAGGUGUAGCGGUGAAAUGCGUAGAGAUCGGAGAGAACACCAACGGCGAAAGCACUCUGCUGGGCCGACACUGACACUGAGAGACGAAAGCUAGGGGAGCAAAUGGGAUUAGAUACCCCAGUAGUCCCUGUCUCUUAUAC
rnacentral:rRNA from 1 species